CGUAAACAACGAGUUUCGGUUUUGUGAAAAUCGUCACUGAAUCUCAAGUGAAUAGUUUAAAUUUAUCUUGUUAAUUGUUCAUUUUAAUUUAUACAAUUUACUUGAUUAUGUCUAAAUGAUUUAAGAAAUGUUUAGAUGUUGAGGAAAAUUUGUUUUUCCAUUGUCAGGCUUUUUUUUUAUUCUUUUCUCUUUAGAAAUGAUUUCUUAAUUGUGCCUUUUAAGAAAUUAACUUAAAUCAUCACAUGUGAUUCUUAACUCACACUGAUUGGCAAAUGUUUACUUUCUCUCUCUGCGCCAAAGGAAUUGAAGAAAAAAGAAUAUUAGUAAAAAAUUAAUGUGAUCCUUGGAAUAAGAAGAAAAAAUUAUGGAAACAUUUUCUACCUUAAAACAAAUAUUCUAUUCUAAUUGCCUGUGUUUCCAUGAGGGUUUUUUUCCCAUUGUCUUGGAUGAUUUUUCUCUUUUAAAUGAAUCUAAAAUUCCCUUGGUGAUUUAUCCUAAUAUCUUAUGACAAUACCUGAUUUACUUUACAAGAUCAAUUGAGUCAAUUGAAUUGACUCUCAUUGAAAAGCAAAUAAUCAUCAUUCACAUUAAAGUCUCAUCAUGAAAAUAAUCUAAGAGUCUUUCGUAAAUUAUCACUUGUGAUGGCGUAAAGUUUUUCUUUCAAUUAAAAUCAUGCCCAGAGGGUCUCUCAUGUUAUAAUCAUGGAAUUAAUCUAUAGAACCAGGAGAAAAGAUGGAAAACAAAAGAGAAAUAUAUUUAUAUAUAUUAGAACAUUCACCAUGGAAGAAGGAAAAAGAAUAUUCAUCAAUAGAGCAUCAACAUUUCUCUAUUAUUAUUCUAAUAGCAGACAUUUUCCUGACAGCAUUUUUUUCCCUCCACGAUCAACAUCUUGCAACUUUAGUUCUCAUUCAUCCUAAUCAUCAUCUUCAUCUUUAUCCUCUGUGUAUCAACCUGUCCUAUGCUCUAUUUGAUUUAUCUCUAUUCGAUUCCCUAUUAUCCUUUUUCUCUCUCACACUCAUGCCACUCUUUUGUUUUCUAUUCUUAUUCAACAAUUUAAUGAAAAUUCUCUAUUAUUAACUCAAUGUAUUCUUAUCUAAUCCAGUGAAUCUCUGUGUUAAACAACUA